CACGGAGUUAGCCGAUCCUUAUUCUUACAGUACCGUCAAGUUUGCUCACGAGCAAGUGUUUCUUCCUGUAUAAAAGCAGUUUACAAUCCAUAGGACCGUCAUCCUGCACGCGGCAUGGCUGGAUCAGGCUUGCGCCCAUUGUCCAAUAUUCCUCACUGCUGCCUCCCGUAGGAGUCUGGUCCGUGUCUCAGUACCAGUGUGGGGGAUCUCCCUCUCAGGACCCCUACCCAUCGUAGCCUUGGUAAGCCGUUACCUUACCAACUAGCUAAUGGGACGCAUGCUCAUCUUUCACCGUUGUGACUUUAAUAACAUCCUGAUGCCAGGUCGUUAUACUAUGAGGUAUUAAUCCAAAUUUCUCUGGGCUAUCCCUCUGUGAAAGGUAGAUUGCAUACGCGUUACGCACCCGUGCGCCGGUCUCUAGUUCCGAAGAACUAUACCCCUCGACUUGCAUGUGUUAAGCCUGCCGCUAGCGUUCAUCCUGAGCCAGGAUA
rnacentral:rRNA from 1 species